UACGUAGGGGGCAAGCGUUGUCCGGAUUUAUUGGGCGUAAAGAGCGUGUAGGCGGUUAGGUAGGUCCGUUGUGAAAACUCGAGGCUCAACCUCGAGACGCCGAUGGAAACCAUCUGACUAGAGUCCGGAAGAGGAGAGUGGAAUUCCUGGUGUAGCGGUGAAAUGCGUAGAUAUCGGAAGGAACACCAGUGGCGAAAGCGGCUUCCUGGUCCAGCACCGACGUUCAGGCACGAAAGCGUGGGGAGCAAACAGG
rnacentral:rRNA from 1 species